CUACCUACUCACUCUACCUACCUAGGGUGUGAAGUGUAAAAAUUUGCGUAGGUGACUGAUUUAAUACUUUCAAGCCCUUUCUCACCCAUUACCUCACGUCUCUCUCUCUGUCAACCUACUCACUACCUUACUCAGUCAUCAUUUCUCCAUUUCUCAGCCACCAUUGCUAUAAACUCGAACCCAAAGCACAGAACCAAUUUAGUUUUAAACCCUUUCAAACAUCCACGGCCAAGCUGAAAACGCAGACCCGAGCUCAGAAGGGAGUUGAGAUAUCGAAAGAUGCAAUUAUCAGUUCGUAUGUGAGGAAGAUGUCGUCCAAAAAUGUUGGAUUUUUAGUGGUAGAGCUUUUGUGUCAACAAGGAUUAUUGGCAAAAGUUGACAUGUAGGAGGAUUCCUCCAUUUGUGGCAAGGCUCUUGUGUCGACAAGGAUGGCUGGCAAAAGUUGACAUGUACGAGGAUUCCUGCAUUUGGUAUUAAUGUUAUUACCUUAUCUUUUAUUGCAAUUUACGUAUGCUUUGACAUCACUUGUGUGAUAAGAGUUCAACCC